rnacentral:snoRNA from 1 species
UGACUUUUGUAAAGAGGAGAGAGAGAAAGGCUGCCCUCAGGACCUCGGGGUGGCCUCCUGUGGCCUGUCCCUUCCGGGGGGCACAACACAC